rnacentral:lncRNA from 1 species
CUUCUCUAUUUCAACUAUUAAUUUUCCACCAUUUUUUCUUUUCUUAACACAUCUGUAUCUCUUCAUUUUCUUGUCUGGUUUUCGAGAAAAUGGCAACAAUGGUUCAUAUGUUGGAAUUUGAUGAGACUAUUAUGGUGUUUUUGAGAAAGUGGCAAAAAUGGUCCAUAUGUUGAGAAAAUGGCAAAAAUCAUUUUCGUUGAUGGAACAACGGUGUUUGUUGUUGUUGGCUUGGUGAAUUUGUGCUAUAUGUUUUGAAUUUGUUGUUGGCAAAAAUUAUUGUUGCGAAGUGAAUUUACCUUGGCGGAGGUGCGGUUGUCGGCUUGGUUGGCGGUUGGAGGGGAAUGGAGAAGGUGACUUUGGGGUUUAGGGAGUUGGAGUAGAGGUGGGGUGGGGGAGGGCAAAUGGAAAAGAUGACGGGAGGGGGGUGCUGCCAUGUAGAGAAGAUGACUUGGGGGGUGCUGCUGGGAUGGGUGGUUGUGGAGAAGAUGACUUUGGAGUUUAGGGGUGGUGGGCU